AUGAACGCUGGCGGCGUGCCUCAUACAUGCCAGUCGAGCGCACAGAUGAGGAGCUUGCUCCUCUGACGUUAGCGGCGGACGGGUGAGUAACACGUGGAUAACCUACCUAUAAGACUGGGAUAACUUCGGGAAACCGGAGCUAAUACCGGAUAAUAUAUUGAACCGCAUGGUUCAAUAGUGAAAGACGGUUUUGCUGUCACUUAUAGAUGGAUCCGCGCCGCAUUAGCUAGUUGGUAAGGUAACGGCUUACCAAGGCAACGAUGCGUAGCCGACCUGAGAGGGUGAUCGGCCACACUGGAACUGAGACACGGUCCAGACUCCUACGGGAGGCAGCAGUAGGGAAUCUUCCGCAAUGGGCGAAAGCCUGACGGAGCAACGCCGCGUGAGUGAUGAAGGUCUUCGGUUCGUAAAACUCUGUUAUUAGGGAAGAACAAAUGUGUAAGUAACUAUGCACGUCUGGACGGUACCUAAGCAGAAAGCCACGGCUAACUACGU
rnacentral:rRNA from 1 species